GGUCAGGCCCGGCGUGACGUCGGAGCGCUAAUUCCGUCAGGACUGGAAAGUAGCAGCGGUACGCUACCUUCGGUGAGUGCGCCGUCAGCCUGACCCAC
rnacentral:SRP_RNA from 1 species